GCUUCAGUUAAAAGGCAAUAUUACUUGUUUCUCCGUUUGUUUGGUAUACUUCUGCUUUAGGGUAUGAAAACGUCGCAAUCUGUAGCCAACGAGGAGAUAACAAGAAUCCCGAAUAUGUGUACAUAUGUUUUCAAUGGAUUGCAUCGUAAUCGCCUAUUCUAGCUUAUAUUUUUGUGAAAUUUGGCCUAUUUUGUCGUUCGAAAUCUGGCACCACUGCCAUAGACACCUCACCCCAGAAAGACGAGUUCCAAUUCUGAAGUAGAACGGGCAAUUCUCAAUUGCAAUAAUCACGAAU
rnacentral:sRNA from 1 species